rnacentral:lncRNA from 1 species
UUGUCAUCUUCUUUAUCUAGAUUUUGAGUUGAUAAAAAAAAAGUUAAUCUAGACUUUGUAAAAAGAAAAGCCACCGCCGAUGCUAGGGUUACCGGUUUCGGUGGCUUUUUCAGCACCGGAGCCGGGGUCUUUGUUGUCUCCAUGUUUUAGUUUCGUUUUCUCUUCUUUUCCAGCAGAUCUGAUUUAUAUUUUCUUCCAACGGUUUCAGAUCUAGAUUUUUAGAUCUAGAUAUAUUAAGUCUAAAUCUUUGGGUUUUACUGCUUGUUUUGCCUCCUUCAUUUGCAGCUUCAGUUCUGGCCGCCCAACCACGACAGAGGCUGGUUCUAAUCCAUCUUACGCCGCCUCAGAUGCAGAUUUCUCACCAUCCAAGAUCUCGAUCUCCUUCCUUUCUUCAUGAGACUUUCUUUCCUUUGCGUCUCGGGGUGUUGGUUUUGUCUCACCGCCGUUUGUGGUAAAGAGAGUCUUGAUUUUAUUUCCUUUUGUGUGAGUUUCUAGUCUCAGAUCUGUUCUUUUAUCUUUGAUUUAGACUUGUGUAUCUAUAUUUGAAUCUUUGGUUAUGAAUCCGGAAAGUAUUAGAUCAGAUUUUGUGUAUUUGUUUGUUCUGGGUUUUUUUCCUUUUGCUUCUUCAUCUUUGUCCUCGGGAGUUUUAGUUUACUCGCCGGCUUAGUCUCUGGAAGGAUUGUUUCCCCUUGUCGGCCUUUGUAACCCACCUGUUGUAAUCCAUCCAAAAAAUUCUAUCAAUGAAAUCUUAUUUUUAGUGAAAAAAAAAAAAAAACUUUGUAAAAAAUGAUGGAUUGCUAUCAAAAAAAAAAAAAUGAUGGAUCAUGGAUACCCAUAAAAAGAGUACUUCUAAUUUGGUGAC